CUGGCUUGUGGCAGCCAAGCGUUCA
rnacentral:snRNA from 1 species